rnacentral:rRNA from 1 species
AACGAACGCUGGCGGCAUGCCUAACACAUGCAAGUCGAACGAGACCUUCGGGUCUAGUGGCUCACGGGUGCGUAACGCGUGGGAAUCUGCCCUUGGGUUCGGAAUAACAGUGAGAAAUUACUGCUAAUACCGGAUGAUGUUUUCGGACCAAAGAUUUAUCGGCCAGGGAUGAGCCCGCGUAGGAUUAGCUAGUUGGUGGGGUAAUGGCCUACCAAGGCGACGAUCCUUAGCUGGUCUGAGAGGAUGACCAGCCACACUGGGACUGAGACACGGCCCAGACUCCUACGGAAGGCAGCAGUGGGGAAUAUUGGACGAUGGGCGCAAGCCUGAUCCAGCAAUGCCGCGUGAGUGAUGAAGGCCUUAGGAUUGUAAAGCCAGUUUACACGGGAUGAUAAUGACGGUACCGGGAGAAUAAGCACCGGCUAACUACGUG